AACGAACGCUGGCGGCAUGCCUAACACAUGCAAGUCGAACGAAGGCUUCGGCCUUAGUGGCGCACGGGUGCGUAACGCGUGGGAAUCUGCCCUUUGGUUCGGAAUAACAGCUGGAAACGGCUGCUAAUACCGGAUGAUGACGAAAGUCCAAAGAUUUAUCGCCAGAGGAUGAGCCCGCGUUGGAUUAGGUAGUUGGUGGGGUAAAGGCCUACCAAGCCGACGAUCCAUAGCUGGUCUGAGAGGAUGAUCAGCCACACUGGGACUGAGACACGGCCCAGACUCCUACGGGAGGCAGCAGUGGGGAAUAUUGGACAAUGGGCGCAAGCCUGAUCCAGCAAUGCCGCGUGAGUGAUGAAGGCCCUAGGGCUGUAAAGCUCUUUUACCCGGGAAGAUAAUGACUGUACCGGGAGAAUAAGCCCCGGCUAACUCCGUG
rnacentral:rRNA from 1 species